GCAGUAGUUUAACUUCUGUGGCAACAUCCGCACAAUUGGCUUCUUGUUACCGUGCGUGUAAUUGUUUGGUCUCCUGCAAACAGUCCCAGGUGGUUACUAGAGGGCAAAGUUUUCUCACAGUGGUGACAGUACCCUGUUUCCCUCAGAUGCCCCCAGCCAGCAGGGCUCUUUGGGUCUGUCCCUUGUGAGUGGUGUAGCUCACGCCCCUCCAAUGAUUGUGGACCCCCCUGCAACCUCUCAGUUACACUUAACUGGAGAGUGGAUAUUAGAAUGGACAUGGGUCAGCCCCCCUUUCACCUUGAGACAAUGUUGAAGGCUGUUUCUUUUGUUUCACAUGAAUAACGUGGACAACAGCAUGAAUUGCAGGCUGUAUGUCCCAAUGAGCUUUCUUGAUUUGGCUUUUGGAUAAAUGCUCCAUAGAAAAUAUGCUUUCUAUAAAGAAAGCAGACAUUUCUUUCCUCUGUUUAGAGGUCUCUUUAUUCUUUAAAAGUUUUUUUUUUUUUUGUAUUGUGAACUAUAGUACUCCAUUAGUAAAGUAAAUCCUUAUGAAAUUUCACUCCUCUCAUAUUAUUUUAUUAGUGUAACUCUAAAGCUUUGCAGGUCAUUCCACACACGGAAUUAACCUUUCCUUACCUCAUUACUAUAGCAUUAGUCUCUUCAAGGCAAUUUAUGUUCAUGAAUCCUCACAUAAUCCCUUGUCAGAUACAUAAGGCUAAUGAUGUAUACAGUAAACCACUUCAAAAAUCCCACCCAUGCCUUGUAGAAAAGGACAAUGUGCUUUCAUGCUGAUGUUUACCAACAUUAUCCUAAUGAAGCCAUUCUUAUUUUCAUUUUUAAUCUGUGAUAAAUUGUCUUUUCCCAUGAUGUGUAUUAGGAAACCCUUCUUUUAGUGUUGAUUUCCAAUGAAUUGAGCCCUGACAUAUCCACAGGUGGUUGAUUAUCAAAUAUCUAACAAAAGCCUUCUGGUGCCUUCCUCAAGGCUCCCCUGAGUCCCAAGUGGUCACCUGUGCCAUGUGGAAAACCCUCUGUUUCUUGUAAGGGACCUGAUUGUAGCAAGCAGUGUAAUAUGGUGGAGGAAGGCACGGAGGUUUUUUUUUUUUUCCCACCCAGUCUAUGCAAGUCAGAAUAAACCUCCAUCCCUUAUUUGGCCUCUAUCAAAUGCAGAACCUGGUGCAGCUUCUGUGAGGAACAAGAAUUCUGUCCCUACUAUGGGCACAGAGAAGGUCAAAGGAAAUGAUGUGACAAUUUUCAGUUGUAAGUCUCUCUCUGGAAUCUUUUGUCUCUUUAUACAGCACUCUCUCCUGGUCUUGUCUCAAGAUUGUGUGUUCUGACAUAUAUCUAUGGUGUUAUUUACUUUACAAAGAGUAAAACUCUUUCCCAAGAGCCUAUGGGCCUCUCUGUUCUUAGCUUGUUGGUCAUCUUUGGUGGUGCCUCCAGAAGUCAUAAGUGUUUAGAGGCUGAGGACCACAGGGAAGUCACUGUGUGUUUGUGGAAAUAUCAUGAGGAGGAUGACAUCUCACUGCACACUUACGUCUCCUGGCCUGGCUCACUUCUUCCAGACCUCCUUUCAUGGGAAUGUUCCUGAAAACUGAAACAGUAGUGUUGUUGUUCUUUUACUCCUUUUCUAUCCAGAGUUAGUCGCCAACCUGUUUAGAACAUCGAUUGUAAUUCUCACUAACUUUCUGAGAGGUGCGUAGCAAUUUUGAAUGCUCUUAUUCGAAGGUUAUUUUUUUCUAAAUUUCAUAAUUCAUCAGUUUUCCCAUCUCUUUUGGGAAAUGUGCUUUUGCAGAGUCAUUGCAGCUGUUCAGUUAGUAAAAAUAUUAUGAAUUCUCAGGGAAGACACAUUUGCAGUAGAAAAUGUACACUGGAACUGAAGCAACAGAGAGUGAAAGUCAGGUCUGAUGUGCCAGUUUCCGGAAAAGAGCUGAAGCCAUGUUCAUGUAACCAGGUUCUUUUAUGGCCUCUGUAGCUGUUAUAGCUGGCAUCUUCUAUUCAUACCUUAACUGUCUUUUCCAUUUUGAUAUCAGAACAUAUUCAUUUUAAUUCUGUCAUUUCAAAUUCCAAAAUAUUUUUCCAUGGGAAAAAAUGAGUCUGUGUGUCACAGUGUAUGUAAAAAUUCGGCAUUACCUGUGUGUGAAUUCACAUAUUAUCUAUAACUUUUCCUAACUAACUCCUGUAGGUGGCACUGUUCCUGCAGAAAACACUUUUCCCAAUUCCCCUUUAGGGAUGUCAUCUCCCCCAGAGAUCUCUGUGGCUUCGGACAGCAGGUCCAGAGAGGGAGCCAGGUCAACAUGGCUGCCAGAGCAUUUCCUUCUUUACCAGAAGUGCCCUCCAUGGGGCACUAUCCCAUGGGCUGCCCUUCAUCACUAUUCAUGGGCUUGGGGCCACCCUUACCUUCUCCACCCUGGUGGUCUCUGGGAUGUCACCCUCCAUCUCCACCUCCACCUCCACCUCCACCUCCACCUCCACCUCCACCUCUACCUCCACCUCCAGCAUUUGAGACUUUAGCCGAUCCAGAAGCUGGUGUCACUCCCAUGAGUCACAACAACAAGCACUCUACCAAAAAUGCCAAGAAGGACCAGGGCAGUGUGGAUCCGUGGGGGUCUCCUCUCUUAACUGGAAGAUUCUGCACACCCUACCCUAAAGGCCACCCUAUGGGCUCCUGGGCACAUCCACCUCCUGAACCUUGGUGGCCCUGAGGAACACCCUAAACCCCUCCACCUACACCACUUGAUCCAGAUGUUGCUCCCGUGAUUGACAACAAAACUGACUCUACCAAAAGGACCAAGAAGGACAAGGUUCACUUUUGGAUGUGAUGUUUCUAAGAAUUGAUGCAUUUCUUGUAGGUUGUCCGUUUGGUAGGUAUAUAUUUUUUCAUGAUAUCUGUUAUAAUCCUUUGUAUUUCUGUGAUGUCUGUCAUUAUUUAUCGUCUUUCAUUUCUGCUUUUAGUUUAGUCCUCUUUUUGGGGGGGAGGGGGAUGAGUAUAGCUAAAGGUGCAUCAAUUUUCCUUAUUCUUUGAAACUAUGAGCUUCUGGUUUCAUUGAAGGCUUCUGCUGUCUUUGGGGUUUGUUGGUUUUCUUUUUCUAACUAUGUUAUGUGUAAGGUUAGGUGGUUUAUUUGAGAUUUUUCUUCUUGAAGGAGGCCUGGUUUGUUGUAAUCGUCCCUCUUAGAUCUUUCCUGGCAUCCCAAGGAUUUUGGACCCUGGUGUUUCUUUUCUCAUUUGUCUUCCUAUAUUUUUAGAUUUCCUCUUUGAUUUCUUGGUUAACCCAUUCAUUGCUUAGGAGCAUGUUAUUUAUCCUGCAUUUCCUGAUUCUUUUCCUGUGAUUGAUUUCCAGUUUCCUGCCAUUGUGGUCAGAAAAGAUGCAUGAGAUGCAUUCAUCUUUUUGAAUUUGUUGAGACUUGUUUUGUAGCCUAACAUGUGAUCUCUUCUGGAGAGUGUUCCAUGUGCACCUGACAAGAAUGUGUAUUUUGCUGUUUUGGGAUGGAAUGUUUGGAAGAUAAUUAUUAGAUCCAUCUAGUCCAAUGUGUCAUUCAAAGCCACUGUUUUCUUUUUGAUUUUCUGAUUGGAUGAUCUGUCCAUUGUUGUAAGGUGGUGUUAAAAUCCUAUACUAAUAUUGUAUUGCUGUGAAUUUCUUCUUUUAUGUCUGUUGUUAGCUGCAUUAUAUUUCAGUGCUCCCAUGUUGGUUGCAUGAAUACUCAUAAUUGGUAUGUCUUCUUGUAGAUUGUUCCCAUUAUCGCUAUGUAGGGUUCUUGGUCUCCUGAUGUAGUCUUUGUUUGAAAGUCUAUUUUGCCUGAUUGGAGUAUUGCUACCCCACCUUUCUUUUCACUUCCAUUUGCCUGAUGAAUGUGUUUCCAUCUUUUCACUUUUGAUCUGCAUGUGUCUCUAGCUCUGGAAUGAGACUCUUGUGGCAGCACAUAGGUGGGUCUUGCUUUUUUAUCCAUUAAGGCACCCUGUGUGUUUUGAUUGGAGCAUUUAGUCCACUUAUAUUCAAAGCUGUUACUUAUUUUAGUAUAUUUUAUUUGCUGAAUAGUUAACAUGCACUGUUCUGUUAGUUUCAAGCAUUCUGUUAGUUUCAACAAUUUUCUACAUCACCAAAGCACAUCAUAAUAAGUCCACUCCUUAAUCCACAUCAGUGAUUCCACCCAUCCCCCACCCCACCACCUCUGGUAAUCAUCAGUUCUUAAGAGUUAAGAGCCUGUUUCAUGGCUCAUCUCUCUUUGUCUCUUUUUCCUUCAGUCAUUUGUUU